AUGGACCAAGUCAUUAAGGUACUUGUGCAGUUUUGUAAGGACUACUGUGGAAAAUCUGCUCCUUCCCGGAAGGAGAUCGCGGCAGUUUUGUGGGACUUGCUCACCUCGGCGCUAUGCCAGCGCGCCAUGGCCAGUCAGAAGGCUACGGAACUUAAAACGUGGGGACUGAUAUUAGGAGCCCUUAAAGCGGCCAGAGUUGAGGGAAAGGGCCAGCUAGCGAGACUAAGGCCAGGGGAGCUAAUAGCAGCCACAAAUGCAACGGCCGAACCACCUACUCCGUGCACAGAUAUUACCCAGGGCCCGAAUGAAUCCUUUCAAAGCUUUACAGACAGGCUUUUAGCUGCUGCAGAGGGUACGCUUAAUACCUCGGGAGCCGGCCGAAGUACGCUUAAUACCUCGGGAGAAGUUAUUCAGUAUGUCUUAGAUAAGCUCAAGCUAUUGGUAUCCGUGGUCGGGUAUGCAGCAGUUAAACAUCAUGAAUCUGGGAAAUUCUGUGGGUACCAUCGCGAAAAGUAAUACCAGAUAUAAGU
rnacentral:lncRNA from 1 species